rnacentral:misc_RNA from 2 species
ACGGAUGACGGUGACUACAACGUCAAGCUGCGCAAUCUCGUCCGCUUCCUUGAAGAUGGCGACAAGACGAAGAUCACGUUGCGUUUCCGUGGCCGCGAAAUGGCUCACCAGGAAAUCGGCAUGCGUAUGCUCGAGCGUCUGCGUACCGAUCUGGAUGAAGUCGGUCAGGUCGAGCAGAUGCCCAAGAUGGAAGGCCGCCAGAUGAUCAUGGUGCUGGCGCCGAAGAAAAAGAAGUAAGCAGACGUUCGCUGCGCAUCUCAAUGUGCGCGGCGCGUUUGUCGGAAAGUUUGAGUCGCGCGUCGUCGAAGACGGCGU